AUUGAACGCUGGCGGCAUGCUUUACACAUGCAAGUCGAAUGGCAGCGCGGGCUUCGGCCUGGCGGCGAGUGGCGAACGGGUGAGUAAUGCAUCGGAACGUGCCCAGUAGUGGGGGAUAGCCCGGCGAAAGCCGGAUUAAUACCGCAUACGACCUGAGGGUGAAAGCGGGGGACCGAAAGGCCUCGCGCUAUUGGAGCGGCCGAUGUCGGAUUAGCUAGUUGGUGGGGUAAAGGCUUACCAAGGCGACGAUCCGUAGCUGGUCUGAGAGGACGACCAGCCACACUGGGACUGAGACACGGCCCAGACUCCUACGGGAGGCAGCAGUGGGGAAUUUUGGACAAAGGGGGCAACCCUGAUCCAGCCAUGCCGCGUGCGGGAAGAAGGCCUUCGGGUUGUAAACCGCUUUUGUUCGGGAAGAAAUCCUCUGGGCUAAUACCCCGGGGGGAUGACGGUACCGGAAGAAUAAGCACCGGCUAACUACGUG
rnacentral:rRNA from 1 species